UACGUAGGGUGCAAGCGUUGUCCGGAAUUAUUGGGCGUAAAGAGCUCGUAGGCGGCUUGUUGCGUCGACUGUGAAAACCCGCGGCUUAACCGCGGGCCUGCAGUUGAUACGGGCAGGCUAGAGUUCGGUAGGGGAGACUGGAAUUCCUGGUGUAGCGGUGAAAUGCGCAGAUAUCAGGAGGAACACCGGUGGCGAAGGCGGGUCUCUGGGCCGAUACUGACGCUGAGGAGCGAAAGCGUGGGGAGCGAACAGG
rnacentral:rRNA from 1 species